UUUAGGGGUAANCCUGAGAAACCCGAAAGGUCGAAGGGAGAAAUUCAUUCGCGUUUCGCGGUAGGCGUUUGGCGGUCGCGUGACGAAAAACGCGCGUACGUUUCGGCGUACGUGUUCGUUUUUUCGCUCCAUCCGUCAUUCGAUCCGAUCGUGAACGCGUGCACUUUUCUCUCGGUAGGACGUCGCGAUCCGUUGGGUGUCGGUCUAAGGUUCGCGGUGGAGCCCGCAAAUAUACGUUUCACGACGCUAUUUGUGGACCCGCGUCUUUUCCCGACCGACUCGCUCGACGGUAUACGAUAGGUUUAAGGCCGCUCGAUACUUACACGAGCGUUCGACUCGUCGCAAGCGCGUCAGAUGUUUGUCGGCGAUCGGACCAGGUGCCGGUUCCGACCUCUGAUGACUGUUGGCGACGAAGUUCUCGAACGGACCUUAAUUUUCUUCACGGAAAAUUUUCAAAAACCGAUCUGCGACGCUAUAGCUUUGGGUACUUUCAGGACCCGUCUUGAAACACGGACCAAGGAGUCUAGCAUGCGCGCGAGUCAUUGGGAAUUUAAUAAACCUAAAGGCGUAAUGAAAGUAAAAGUUCGUCUCGCACGAACCUAGGGAAGAUGAACGGUUUUUUUGUGGACCGUUCCGCAUUCCCGGGGCGUCUCGUUCUCAUCGCGAGAAGAGGCGCACCAAGAGCGUACACGCUGGGACCCGAAAGAUGGUGAACUAUGCCUGGUCAGGACGAAGUCAGGGGAAACCCUGAUGGAGGUCCGUAGCGAUUCUGACGUGCAAAUCGAUCGUCGGAACUGGGUAUAGGGGCGAAAGACUAAUCGAACCAUC
rnacentral:rRNA from 1 species